AUUGAACGCUGGCGGCAGGCCUAACACAUGCAAGUCGAACGAGUGGCGGACGGGUGAGUAAUGUCUGGGAAACUGCCUGAUGGAGGGGGAUAACUACUGGAAACGGUAGCUACUACCGCAUACCAUCAGAUGUGCCCAGAUGGGAUUAGCUAGUUGGUGGGGUAACGGCUCACAAAGGCGACGAUACCUAGCUGGUCUGAGAGGAUGACCGGCCACACUGGGACUGAGACACGGUCCAGACUCCUACGGGAGGCAGCAGUGGGGAAUAUUGCACAAUGGGCGCAAGCCUGAUGCAGCCAGGCCGCGUGUAUGAAGAAGGCUUUCGGGUUGUAAAGUACUUUCGGCGGGGAGGCGUUACCCGCAGAAGAAGCACCGGCUAACUCCGUGCCAGCAGCCGCGGUAAUUC
rnacentral:rRNA from 1 species